GACGAACGCUGGCGGCGUGCUUAACACAUGCAAGUCGAACGGAAAGGCCCUGCUUUUGUGGGGUGCUCGAGUGGCGAACGGGUGAGUAACACGUGAGUAACCUGCCCUUGACUUUGGGAUAACUUCAGGAAACUGGGGCUAAUACCGGAUAGGAGCUCCUGCUGCAUGGUGGGGGUUGGAAAGUUUCGGCGGUUGGGGAUGGACUCGCGGCUUAUCAGCUUGUUGGUGGGGUAGUGGCUUACCAAGGCUUUGACGGGUAGCCGGCCUGAGAGGGUGACCGGCCACAUUGGGACUGAGGUACGGACCAGACUCCUACGGGAGGCAGCAGUGGGGAAUAUUGCACAAUGGGCGGAAGCCUGAUGCAGCAACGCCGCGUGCGGGAUGACGGCCUUCGGGUUGUAAACCGCUUUCGACUGUGACGAAGCGUGAGUGACGGUAAUGGGUAAAGAAGCACCGGCUAACUACGUG
rnacentral:rRNA from 1 species